AUACGGAGGAUCCGAGCGUUAUCCGGAUUUAUUGGGUUUAAAGGGUGCGCAGGCGGCCAUUUAAGUCAGCGGUUAAAUCGUGGGGCUCAACCCCAUUCUGCCGUUGAUACUGGGUGGCUUGAUUGCGGUCGAGGUUGGCGGAAUUCGUUGUGUAGCGGGUGAAUGCAUAGAUAUGACGAAGAACACCGAUUGCGGAGGCAGCUGACCAGACCGCAAAUGACGCUCAUGCACGAAAGUGCGGGGAUCGAACAGGAUUAGAUACCCUGGUAGUCCGCACAGUAAACGAUGAAUACUUGUUUUCGGCGAUAUAAUGUCGGAGGCAAAGCGAAAGCGAUAAGUAUUCCACCUGGGGAGUACGCCGGCAACGGUGAAACUCAAAUGAAUUGACGGGG
rnacentral:rRNA from 1 species